GGAUUGCAGUGGCAAAGCUAGGCUAGGUCUUGGAGGCUGGUGUAAGGCGAUGUGGGUGAAGGCAGGAGGCUGAUGGAAAGACUGGGGGGAAGAAAAGCCGAAAUGGAUUCACGGUGCCUUGGAUGAAGGACGAGAGGGGAACUGCAAGCUCCUUCAACUGGUUCUGUCCGGUGAGAAGUGAUCAAGCUUGGGCUGACAAGAGGCUCAGGGAGCCCUCACGUUCUUUCGCUUUUUUACCUGCCAAUCAAACUGCUACAAGACAACACCCUGAUCUGGCAUGGACAUUCAUUGCAGUCACCUGGAGUCACGGAAAUGACCAUGAUUGCCUGAACUUUCAUGACUUCUGUGGAUAACUGUGGUUGCAGAAAAGAGAAAACCUGGACCGUGAGGGACAUUUCACUCCCUGGGCUUUGGUUGGAGUGCAGUGGCGCGAUCUUGGCUCACUGCAACCGCCACUUCCCAGGUUCAAGUGGUUCUCCUGCCUCAGCCUCCUGAGUACCUGAAAUUACAGGCGCCCGCCACCACGCCAGUCUCAAUACCUUCACAGAGGUGAAGAAGCAGCAACCAAAUGAAUUAGACAGCAACAUGAUUCCUAGAGAAUGGCAAGACCAAUUCUUCAACUACUUCUUCAGCAUUUCUGAAACAUAUGGAAGAUGGCCCAUUGUGCUCUCUUAAUUCUUUGAUAAUCUGGACAUUGACUUUUCCAUUAUAUGACCUGGGCUUGUGGGCAUCAUGUCAUAAUGCACCUGUUCAGACAUCUCCCUGUACCAAUAUGGAUCACUUGAAGAGACUCCUUUGCCCCCAUCAAAAAGGAUACAGUUGUGUAUCUCUUCCAUUUUUGUUUACAGUGCCUAAAAUUAUUUGAGCAGUUUUUCACCUCUUCUCUGAUAAACACCUUAUUAGUC
rnacentral:lncRNA from 10 species